UGUUACAGCAAUGUUUAGGGACAUCAAAUGGAGGUCGAGGUUAAGUGACAUCCCUCCUCACUUUGUGCUGGAGAUGGCGGUCUGGAUAACAAGACUUCCUCCUACAUACCGAAUAAGACAAUGAUAUUCAAACACCAAUACCAUGACACUUAUUCCUACUGUCGCCACAACUCUUCAUCUCCGAUUCCUCAGAGGUAGCUUCACCUGAUUCUGGGGCGCCAUCAUGCCUGCCUCAUGCUUCGCUGUGCUGGACGCUUUAAAUAGGUGUCGCACUAAUUUAAAUUCUUUCAAUUCUAAAAUCCACAAAAGCUCAUAUUCAUCUUCCUGGUUAGGUGUUUCUGAUGACUUAAAGCUCUGUUACUAAAGGGUCAAAGAUUUGAAUGUUGAAGUUGAAAACCACCAGAUGACGCUCAUGAAAGUCAAAGUAAAAAAAAUGAAACGUGUGAGGGUGAUAAAGAAUGAAGGUCCUGAAGCCAAAGAAUAAUGGUCGAUGUAGCCACCAACCACUAGCAUGAUAAGGAACCAGAGAAUUCAACUAUCAGUUGUUUUCUUUGGCGAAUUUGACCAAAUAUGUUCAAGGUCAUGAUGAAGAUUGUAUGAUAUUUCUGUUGAUAAGUUUGAUCAUAUCUGUAUAUUUGUAUUGUCUUUUCUGAAAAAGCCGUAAUUGGUUUUUCUGAGGCAUGAUUUACAAUUUGGAUUGAUUGAAUUUUCCAACCCACAUAUACAUAUUCGCUUCUCUAUCUCAUAUUUCUCUUUUUAUUUUUCCUUCUUAGAUGAUGAUGGGCAUUGUUUCAAGGAAAGCUUUGCAAGUCGAGUUAGCUCAACCAUUAUUUAGAAAAGUAUUAGUAAAUUACCCAGUCAAUUGCACCUUUCCCAAAAUGUUGAAGCUCGUUGUGUCAUUUAUUACUUUUCUAUUUGGGGUAUGUUGGAUGAUAUAAUCAACAAUGAUUUAGCUCUUAUUGCAAGUUUAGAGAGAUUGUGAAGUGAGAUCUGAAAGCUUGAAAUGUUGACAUUUAACAGAGCGUCAUCUCCUUAUAAUGUAAGAGUUGAGAAGAGCUAUUAAUCUUUGAUAGGACAUCACAAACCAUUGUCUCUCUUUGUUUCUUGAUUAAAUAUGGUUUAAACUGGGGAAUAAAAGUUUCAAAUUUACAAGUUCAAGGGAAGCUAUGUUCGUUAUUGACCUCUUCAACAAUGUUACAACUCCAAAAAUCCUCAACUUCUAGGAUUUCUAAUAUAAUCACCUGUUAUUCUAGAUGCCUCAUUUGGUUUAGCCUCUUUGUUGAUUGAAGUCUAUAAUAGACUGUUGUAGGUGAAUGUUUCAGCAGGAACUUCAUGAUCCUUAUCAUCGUUUGUUUUAAAUUCUCAGAUGUAGCCCCCUUAAAAGUUAAAUCCAAGAUAUAAUGGCAACAUCUGCCAAUUAACCAUUGGGACUAAAGGAAGACAAGGUGAUGUUGCUUCUUUCUCUUUACCCCUGUUUCUUUUGCCUUCUUCAAGAUAUAAUGUUAUAGAUUAACUUGUGUUCUUUCAUUUA